AGAGUUUGAUCCUGGCUCAGGACGAACGCUGGCGGCGUGCUUAACACAUGCAAGUCGAGCGGAAAGGCCUCUUCGGGGGUACUCGAGCGGCGAACGGGUGAGUAACACGUGAGUAACCUGCCCCAGUCUUUGGGAUAACCCUCGGAAACGGGGGCUAAUACCGGAUAUGACCUGUGACCGCAUGGUUGUGGGUGGAAAGUUUUUCGGUCUGGGAUGGGCUCGCGGCCUAUCAGCUUGUUGGUGGGGUGAUGGCCUACCAAGGCGACGACGGGUAGCCGGCCUGAGAGGGCGACCGGCCACACUGGGACUGAGACACGGCCCAGACUCCUACGGGAGGCAGCAGUGGGGAAUAUUGCACAAUGGGCGGAAGCCUGAUGCAGCGACGCCGCGUGAGGGAUGACGGCCUUCGGGUUGUAAACCUCUUUCACCAGGGACGAAGCGUGAGUGACGGUACCUGGAGAAGAAGCGCCGGCCAACUACGUGCCAGCAGCCGCGGUAAGACGUAGGGCGCGAGCGUUGUCCGGAUUUAUUGGGCGUAAAGAGCUCGUAGGCGGCUUGUCGCGUCGACUGUGAAAACCCGUGGCUCAACUGCGGGCUUGCAGCCGAUACGGGCAGGCUGGAGUUCGGUAGGGGAGACUGGAAUUCCUGGUGUAGCGGUGAAAUGCGCAGAUAUCAGGAGGAACACCGGUGGCGAAGGCGGGUCUCUGGGCCGAUACUGACGCUGAGGAGCGAAAGCGUGGGGAGCGAACAGGAUUAGAUACCCUAGUAGUCC
rnacentral:rRNA from 1 species